UAUUGGUCAAUAGCCUAACGGCUGAACCAGCAACUUGGAGGAAUGUAUAGGGAAAACUGGUAAAAUGUGAUGUACCUAGUAGUAUUAGUAAUAAAUAUAAGAUUAACUAAGUUAAUUAAAAUUCUAAGUAGAUAUGUGAUUAUGACAAUAUCUGCAUAGGUCUUGACCAAGUCACGUGCCAGCAGUCGCGGUAAUACGUGGAAGACGAGUGUUAUUCAUCUUUAUUGGGUUUAAAGGGUACCUAGACAGUUAAUUAAGCAAUAAGAUGUACUAAUUAACUAGAGUUUAAUGUAAGAAGGAUUGAGUACGGUGAGAGUAGAGAUAAAAUUUUUUGAUACCACUUAGGAACUGGUAACAGCGAAGGCUACCUUCAAUGUAAAAAACUGACGUUGAAGGACGAAGGA
rnacentral:rRNA from 1 species